rnacentral:rRNA from 1 species
CAAUAGCGUAUAUUAAAGUUGUUGCGGUUAAAAGCUCGUAGUUGGAUUUCUGUUGAGAGCAGCGGGUCACUCCUAUGGAUGUGUAUCUUGUUUGAUCUCGGCAUCCUCUCGAAAUACGGUUUUGCGCUUGAUUGCGUGGGCUAGUAUUCGGGACUUUUACUUUGAGGAAAUUAGAGUGUUCAAAGCAGGCUAUUGCUUGAAUACAUGAGCAUGGAAUAAUGGAAUAGGACUUUGGUCCCAUUUUGUUGGUUUCUAGGGCCGAAGUAAUGAUUAAGAGGGACAAUUGGGGGCAUCCGUAUUUCGUUGUCAGAGGUGAAAUUCUUGGAUUUACGAAAGACGAACAACUGCGAAAGCACUUGCCAAGAGUGUUUUCAUUAAUCAAGAACGAAAGUUAGAGGAUCGAAGACGAUUAGAU